rnacentral:lncRNA from 1 species
UCUUAUAAUUAUGAUGAACGAAACAUCAUGAUCGACGGUGACCAGAAACGUUUUCUCACAACUUCAUCUCGACAUGGCAAGGAACAUGUAGCAUGUACGAAUCAAGAACCUGAUCCCGGUCCGCUGACACGUAUUUCUUGCAAUGGACCUGGAUAUGUUAUGACGAAGAUCAAUUUCGCUGAGUAUGGUAAUCCCACUGGUACAUGUGGACACUUUAGACACGGCAAUUGCCGCUCACAAGCGACCAUGAGGAUCGUCAAAAAGGUUAAUUAACAAAAAAAUAAACUUACAUUAAUGUUGGUUUCUGCCUUUUCCUUCACGUGGAGUAAAAUCAUAAACAUUUCAAUAAAUCUUAUUGUGCAGAAUUGUCUUGGAAAAGAGAGGUGUCACCUUUUUGUUACGGACGAGAUGUUCGGUCCGAGCCACUGCGAAGGAGCUCCUAUGCUCGCUGUUGAAACCACUUGUACAAAAGCUUAGGUUUUCAUAUAUAUUAGUUUUCUCCCUUUUAGAUCUCGUUUUGGACAAGUUUUUGUGUUUCUC